CCACAGCAGGAUGGCAAGGGGCAAAUGCAUGUAAAAAUACCCCCCAGGCCACAACCCACAGCAGGAAAGAGACAAGCAUAUAAACACAUUGACGCACUCUCACCUUGAUUCAGUGAAGGUGUCUGGUGGAUUCCUGGAGAGCCUGGGGCCGGGCAGCGUCAUGAUGUCCGAGUGUGACAGCUGGGUACAACAAGCGCCGACAUCAGGAGGAUUUGCUGAACUUGAGCAGCAGCUACAGACCAGCGAGGCACCUGCGUGUGACGCACCACUCUACUCCUCUUCCGGCUCCCUCUCUGCAGACUGAGGCAAUCGCAGGCAGGGCUUCCUUUCCUCCUCUGGCCGUUUCCACUUCACCGGGUUGGGAGGGGGGUGCGAAAUGUAAGUGGAUCGGCCAGGGGAGGGAGCCAGCACCAAGUACUUAUUUAAUAAAUAAAUAAAGGCAAAAAAAAUGGGCCCCCAAAAUAAGUGUGCCCCGUGCAGCUGCCCACUUAUUAAAGCAGCCCUGCCCCUGGAGCCAGCACCCCCCUCUGAAAGCAGCAUCAGUAGUUUGAUCAGUAGAAAAGCUCCUUUGUUGUUUCACAGUAGCUGCUCUACUUCUGCAGCUCCCCCUCCCCUUCAACUAACCAUGUGGAAAUAAAGGUGGACUGAACUUUCCUGCCACAUAUAAAUCUGUAUGCGAGUAGUGAGACACGUGAGAAUCAGAUAAGCAGCAAAAUCAAACUGGAGCAGCUACACUCACGUGUCUCACUACUCGCAUACAGAGUUAUAUGUGGCAGGAAAGUUCAGUUCAUAUUAACUACUGAUGCUGCUUUCAGAGGGGGAGAGGAGUUUUUCCAUCAUACGGUGAGAACCAUAAUUAGUGUAAGUCACAGGUUCUAAUCAUCACUUGUACAGUUCCCACACAGAGACAGGUUCCCAUAUUAGGCCAGCAAAACACUAGCACGCCGCAGCCCCACCAAUGAGCGUGUCCCUGGGCGGAGCUUAACUUGUAAACACAACAGCUCCUGCUAAAAAGCAGGAGAGUAUGUUGGUGCCCAAGCAAUACAAAAUUGACCCGCAUGUCCCAGUAGGUCUAUUGAAUCCCCCUCCCGCACACAGUCCUGCAGUGCCGGGAAAUUCAUGGCAGCGCUGGGGCAGGAACCUGUGCCCUGGUGCAGCAGCCAGACUCAGCCACUUGUUUGAUUCACUGCGGGUAGCCAAUGAGAAUUUAGGGUACUAGUCCCGUUAUCUCUGUCCAAUCAGAGCCUGGAGUACGUGUGACGUGACUCUACUGUUAGUGACAUGAAAGAAUCCUGUCCCGCUGUCAAACUCUAUGGUUCAGGUGUAACUAAGGGAGACCGUUAUUAGCUCAGGCUGUAAUCUCAGCACGUUCCCAAUGUAAUGGCAAAGCAGUGAUUAGUAAGUAACUGCACGUCACGCUGCUGCUUUGGAAUUUCUUACGCGAUGGAGUUAUGAGGAAAACGUGAUGCGGCUGCUGCCUACAUCCAUCUUCAGGAGCCGAGACGAGCAGCUGAGGAACAUGUGGAAAUGUCCCCGAGCCAUCGCGCCGAAUGACAGGAAUUAGGUGAGACGAUCAGCCGAAGAACAGGUGAUUUCCUCUGCGCUUUUGGACCUGACCUGACACGUCCAAAAUUGGAAGAAGGAGAUGAAAGAGAGAAGAUGACAAAGGAUUUGCGGAUCUCCUGUUUCCUAGAGAAUGCAGAUGCUGCCUGAUCCCCAGACAGGUAGGCUGCUUUCACUCCUGGUUUGGCAGCUGAAGAGUC